GUUCGGCUGAAGAGUCCCAAAUAGAACGAAACGCGCAUCCUGGAU
rnacentral:hammerhead_ribozyme from 1 species